rnacentral:rRNA from 1 species
AGAGUUUGAUCCUGGCUCAGGAUGAACGCUGGCGGCGUGCCUAAUACAUGCAAGUCGUGCGGUAGCAGGCUUUCACUAUUUGCUUCUCUCUCAUCUGUCAGAUGGGAUCAAGAGGAGGAAGUGGUGAAAGUGCUGACGAGCGGCGGACGGGUGAGUAACGCGUAGGAACGUGCCCCAAAGUGAGGGAUAAGCUCAGGAAACUGAGUCUAAUACCGCAUAUGGUCUUCGGAUUAAAGCCUUCGGGCGCUUUGGGAACGGCCUGCGUACGAUUAGAUUGUUGGUGAGGUAAAGGCUCACCAAGUCGACGAUCGUUAGCUGGUCUGAGAGGAUGAUCAGCCACACUGGAACUGAGACACGGUCCAGACUCCUACGGGAGGCAGCAGUAAGGAAUCUUCCACAAUGGGGGCAACCCUGAUGGAGCAACGCCGCGUGAAGGAUGAAGGCCCUAGGGUCGUAAACUUCUUUUGUUAGUGAAGAAUAUGACAGUAACUAACGAAUAAGGGUCGGCUAACUACGUGCCAGCAGCCGCGGUCAUACGUAGGACCCAAGCGUUAUCCGGAGUGACUGGGCGUAAAGAGUUGCGUAGGCGGCUUAUUAAGUGGAUAGUGAAACCUGGUGGCUCAACCAUACAGACUAUUAUCCAAACUGAUAAGCUUGAGAAUGGUAGAGGUGAUUGGAAUUUCUAGUGUAGGGGUAAUAUCCGUAGAUAUUAGAAGGAACACCAAUGGCGUAGGCAGAUCACUGGACCAUUUCUGACGCUGAGGCACGAAAGCGUGGGGAGCGAACCGGAUUAGAUACCCGGGUAGUCCACGCCGUAAACGAUGGAUGCUAGCUGUGGGGGGUAUCGACCCCCUCCGUAGCGAAGCUAACGCGUUAAGCAUCCCGCCUGUGGAGUACGGCCGCAAGGCUAAAACAUAAAGGAAUUGACGGGGACCCGCACAAGUAGUGGAUCGUGUUCUUUAAUUCGAUGGUAAACGAAGAACCUUACCAGGGCUUGACAUCCCUUGAAUUUUGUCGAAAGACGAGAGUGCUUUAUUGAACAAGGUGACAGGUGAUGCAUGGCCGUCGUCAGCUCGUGUCGUGAGAUGUUUGGUUAAGUCCAUCAACGAGCGCAACCCUUAUAGUUAGUUGAAUUUUUCUAGCUAGACUGCCCCGGUAACGGGGAGGAAGGAGGGGAUGAUGUCAGGUCAGUAUUUCCCUUACGUCCUGGGCUAGAAACGCGAUACAAUGGCCGGUACAACGGGCAGCCAAGCCGCAAGGCGGAGCAAAUCCCAACAAAGCCGGUCUCAGUUCGGAUAAGAGGCUGAAACUCGCCUCUUUGAAGUCGGAAUUACUAGUAAUCGCAGAUCAGCAUGCUGCGGUGAAUACGUUCCCGGGUCUUGUACACGCCGCCCGUCAAACCAUGAAAGUGACCAACACCCGAAGUCCGAUUCGUCGGCCUAAGGUGGGGGGCAUGAUUGGGGUUAAGUCGUAACAAGGUAACC